CGAGUUAUCGAACUUGACCUUUAUUUACUUCCGUUCAAGAUAGCCGGCUCAUAAACACAUGACAAAUGCAGAACGAAGUCAAUUUAUCAUACCGCUGAGAACUAACUAGAAAAAAUACUACCAUUGUUGAAAAGAAAAAGUCAUAAAGAAGACAGCUCUUGCAGUUUCAAGUCAAGAAGUUCAGGGAACAAAUAUAAACUCUCAAACUAGCCAUGUUUGACUGGAGAGAAUGGUUGGAGUAUAUCUUAAGAUGGGCAGCUACUAGUCCAUGGGAAUUUGUGUUCACAAUCCUCCUUUGUUUGUCACCGUUCUUCUUCAUCAGUGCAAUUCUGGCAUGGAAACUUGCACAGGAGAUUGAGGCAAAAGAAAAAGAGAAGAAAAAGAAAGCAAAACGAGAAGCAGCUAUUAAGAAAAAACAGCAAAAAGCAGACUGAUUAAAUAUGAAUAACUAUGCAACUUAUUGCAUCAACAUGGAAUGACUUUUCGAUAUUUCCACUUAAUGUUAAUUUUAAUUGUUUCUCAUUCCUGAGUAUAUGUGAAUUGAAGAAUUUCAGGAUUUUUGAAUGGAACAAUGUCAGAGUGCUUGGAAUGAAAGAUACAUUAUGACAACAUGAAGAGUUUUCCUGUGAGAAUUUCUUGUAUGUGAAUGUUUUAAUGAUAGUUUGAAAGUUAAUUAUAAGAAUAAUAUAUUCUGCUCUUUUGUAUGUAAAAUUUUAUUACAUAUUUAUCCAUUAAGCAUGUUUGUCUCGAAAGAAUAUUUGAUGUCAAAAUGAAUAGUUCUCAAUAAAUAGAGACAUUACUGUGCACAAUCUAAAUGUCAUAUACAGAUGUAUGUAUUAUACAUGUAAUUACAUGCGAGUCAUUAUA